GUUCCUGAGGUACAUAUACUAAAAUUUGAAAAACACAGAGAGGAUUAGCAUUUUCCCUGUGUACUGAUGACAUGCAAAAUCAUGAUACAUUCUGUAUUUUU
rnacentral:snRNA from 1 species